rnacentral:rRNA from 1 species
UGGGGAAUUUUACGCAAUGGGGGAAACCCUGACGUAGCGACACCGCGUGAGCGAAGAAGCCCCUUGGGGUGUAAAGCUCUGUCAGCUGGAACGAGAAAAAAUGACGGUACCAGCAGAGGAAGCAUCGGCUAACUACGUGCCAGCAGCCGCGGUAAGACGUAGGAUGCGAGCGUUGUCCGGAUUUAUUGGGCGUAAAGAGUUCGUAGGUGGUUUGUCAAGUCUGAUGUUAAAGAUCGGGGCUCAACCCUGGGACUGCAUUGGAUACUGGCAGACUUGAGUGUGGUAGAGGCUAGUGGAAUUCCCAGUGUAGCGGUGAAAUGCGUAGAUAUUGGGAAGAACACCGGUGGCGUAGGCGACUAGCUGGGCCAUAACUGACACUGAGGAACGAAAGCCAGGGUAG